rnacentral:rRNA from 1 species
GAUGAACGCUGGCGGCGUGCUUAACACAUGCAAGUCGAACGAUGAUGCCCAGCUUGCGGGGUGGGUUAGUGGCGAAAGGGUGAGUAAAACGUGAGUAAAAUGCGCUUGACACUGGGAUAAGACUGGGAAACAGGGGGUAAUAUAGGAUACGACCAUCUGGCGCAUGUGGUGGGGGUGGGAAGCUUUUGUGGUUUUGGAUGGACUCGCGGCCUAUCAGCUUGUUGGUGGGGUAAUGGCCUACCAAGGCUACGACGGGUAGCCGGCCUGAGAGGGUGACCGGCCACACUGGGACUGAGAUACGGCCCAGACUCCUACGGGAGGCAGCAGUGGGGAAUAUUGCACAAUGGGCGGAAGCCUGAUGCAGCGACGCCGCGUGAGGGAUGACGGCCUUCGGGUUGUAAACCUCUUUCAGUAGUGAAGAAGCGAAAGUGACGGUACCUGCAGAAGAAGCGCCGGCUAACUACGUG